UUAUCUAUUUUAUAAUAAUAACUUAAUAUAUAUUUCAACUUGGCAUCUUCAUUUUCCUUUAUCCCCUAUUCAUAGAAUAUGCCUUUAGUUUGUACAUAAUUUUAACAUUGACACAAUAAAAAUAUUAUAUUAAAAGGUAAUUAAAACCGUUAUACCCUCUCCAUUUCAUCCAUCGUUGAGUUAUCCAAAGUCCAGUAAAAUUGGACGAAAUUUAAUUUUCUGACUUUGCCAGAAGUAUAGUCCUAACUUCACUUCACCAAAACAUCACAUCACAUGAGGCGGGCGAACACAAUCCCUAAAAAUAUAUGGUGAGAGAUUCUGUCAAUACGUAUCAAUUUAUGAUCUCUAAGAAUUAACAAUUCUCCAACCAGGCAUCUCAUAUAAUCCCCUCACAUUAGCACCAACAAGCUCCUAGCUAACAAUCCACCACUCUACCGCCUGUACCUAUGAAGUAAAACACUUGAUGAUUGAGAACCACGCCAAGCCAGUCUCUCUUUGUAAAUACUUCCUCUUGGCAUCAAGACAAGGGAUAGAUACACAAGAUCAACCAUAUAGCUUACACUCAACUCGAGUAUCACCUCUAACCCUCCGAACCUCCAUCCUUAGUGCUUCUCCAUGCCACAGGAGAUGUGGGCCACCACUUUGUAUUCCCUAACAUCUUAUAUAACUUAAUUGUUAUAAUAAUUGAUGAAGUCUAUGAGAAACAAACAAAAAAUUAUAUGGUUAUCGUUGGAGAGCUAUCAUUAUCAGGAUCAAGAAGACCAAGAUGCUAGCCAUUAUCAGCAUAACAUAAAAUUGAAUAUCGAGGUCAUGAUGACAAUAUAAAAACUUACCUUCCAUCUUUCCCACAAUUUUAACGAUGGGACAACCAUCACACUCUUUCAUAUCUUUUUAUUGAUUAUCAAGAGGAGAGAUAUUAUUAAGAUCCAAGGAUCAAAGAGGAUUUUCGAUCUACAACCCAAUAGUAUAGAGAAUUACAAGCCCUUUGGCUCAACUCUAAGAAUGUGCCCCGAAAGGAACCUAGAAAGAUAAUGAGAAGCUGAGAAAAGAAGAAGAAAAAGAAUCUUCUCGAGGCCAAAGAUGAUCUUUGGAACAUUAGUAUUGCCUUGACUUACAGGGAAACCAAACCACCACUUUGCCUAAUGGAGUAAAGAUGAAGCUAUAGUAGGAUACUGAAACUAUCAACGCCCAAAGCACCUGAAAAGGGUAUCACUGACACUCUUCUUUUAAUACUUGCCUUUGAAUACCUCACAAAGAAAAAUUCUUGGUGAAAGUAAAGGAAUAUUAGGAACCUUUCUUCCCAUAUGGUUUAGUCUAUAGAGGAAGAAGUCCAUAAUUGAGUGACUACUUCACAAUAAUAUAGGCCACACAACAAAUGACUACCUCAACUUGAAGGAUGCCAUUUAAGUAGAUGUAAGGAAAGGCCAAUCAAAGACAUUUACAAAAUGAAGACCUUGCUCCCAAAAAAGGAGGAAGGGAGACAUCAUGGUAAAAAGAAUCCCUAAAGCCUCAAAAUAUUGGUGAAAUAGAAGGAUGUCUUUGGAUUCUAGCAUACAACAACCAUCUCCUUUUAAAAAAUAAAGGCAAAAACGAGAGAAGGGCGAAUAGGUUCCCUCCAAGAUCAAGCACUUAGUGAGGCCAACAACACGAACCCUUUGUGUGAAACAAAAUGUUACUUGCCAAUGAAUAAACAAAAGGGGCAGCUUAAAAUAAAGUUAGAGUAACUUCUAAUAUAAAAGAUGCACGAGCUUAUAGGAAGAAAAAGACUCAGAUUAGUUUGAUGCACUUCCUUAUUAAGUUAGAGUGAGAAUACUUUAUUUAUGCCAAGAGAAGUAAUGUCAUGUCGAGCACAUGAAAAGGUCAAGGCACACAAAGGAAACAUUCACCACAUCAUAUCAUCUUCUUAGAUCUCCUUAUUAGAACAAAAAUGCCUUAUAGCUUAUUGAAUAGUGGCUUGAUGAGAGAAGAAGAUAAUCACAAACAAAGCUAACUACUUAAGUAUGUAAAAGUGAAGGCCUUCCUUCAAUGAGAGGUAAUGAAUGGAUCCCUUAAUGACUCCCUUCAUAUAAACAUGAUGGCUCCUUAAAUCUCCUUAUCAAAUGUAAGUGUAGAAAAUGCUACAUCUUAUCAUCACGAAUUAAAAGGACACGAGGAGAACCAUCCCAUAUCAAGCUCACUUGUGCAACCAUUGAGCGUAACAUCUUAGCCUUUAAAAUGAUAUAAAGGUGAAUAGAAAAGUUUCAGAAUGUGGAACAUGACUUACGGGGACCGCAAUAUAUCGGUGCAUGCUUGAUACAUUCCUUCGUAAGCUACAAAUAAAACAAGAAGAUGAAAAGAUUCCCUAAGAGGUCAAUGGAGAAAAGUAAAGGAUCUUCUAGUUGGAAAAAACGGUUUAGAAAAUAGUGCUUUAAGGCACAAUGAAAUUGCAAAUUUUUUCUUUAAAACCGAGCCAUUAUGAUAUUUAUAGGAAUAAGCAUUAACCAGAAUUAUAUUUGUGCUUUGUAUAAGACAAUUAAGUUAAUAAUGGCUCUCUACUAAACGACAUUCUCUACUAUUCUCGAACCAUGAAUUACUUUGAGUAUGGGAUCAAAGUAUCAUGAAUCAAUUGCACAGAAUGAAGACUUUAUUAAUUUUCAAUAGGAAAGGUCAUUCUCUUUAUAACCGAAAUUAUGCAUUUUCCAAGAAAAUAGAAUUUAUUCUAUAAAAUAAAAUUUCACUAUUUUUUAACAGAAUAACGACAUGAAUAAUGUGCAUUGAAAAGCUUAACACAUCAUUCCUAUUCAUAGAGAAACAGUACAAGAGUUCUAUUCGAAUAAGAUCUAAUUAAAUAACAAUAUUUAAAUAGUAAAUACAACUUCUAGUCUAAGUAGAAGAGUAAGGGGUGGCGACACCCUUAGAGUAAGGCCCCUUUUAUAUAUUUGGUCUAAUUAUAUGUGUUAUCGAGACUUUUAUCCAACACUUAUAAUUUAUUCAACCCAAUAUAUAUUUUUUAUUUCUCAAAAUAUUAAUUAAUUAAGUCAAUGAAAUAAAUUAACUAAAUUAAUUUCUCAAUUAAAUUAUUUUUUCAACCAAAUUCUAAUUCUGUUUAAAUCAUGAUAAUUUUAUUGUACUAGAAUCUAUGAAUAAAUAUAUUUAAUUGUCUUAUUAAAAAAAUCCAUAAUUAUUAAUUAAUUUAAUUCUCACUUCGAACUUUAAUUGUUUAAUUUCUAUUAAUUAAAUAAUUCAAAGAUCUUAAAUUAAUUUCUAAGUUAUCUUUUGUAGUUAGUGAGAAAACGCAUUUACUGCAUGUAGUGAUGUAUAUGGUAUAUUUCCCUUACUUUAUCGUUUUCAUUCAUUUCAUAUUAUUGGUUCUACAUGCAAUUCGUUUUUAGUUAUCUUGAGCUAGCGAAUGACUGAUUGAACAUAUAUGAUUAGAGCUUAAAUAAUUUGUAAUUAAGUUUCUGCUUUUUGAUCUAUUGUGAUUUGACAUGUUUAUUUGUUGUGCCUUUGCACACACUUUAGCAUAUUUUGAGUAGAAUCGAGUCAUUUUAGUGUCAAUUUGCGUUUUUAGGUUUUUAAGUAGUAAAUGAAUAAGAGUGGAACUCACAAGUGUUCACAAGUUUAAAAAAAAAACUAGGUAAAAGAUUGAAUUUUUGCACUUUAAUCUUUGAAAGCUUGUUUCUUAUCUUCAUUUGGGAGUCAUUGAACCAUAUUUGUACCAUCUAACAAGUCUGGAGAUGUUUGGAGUUGUUAGACACAAAUUGGAGCCGUUGCAACACUGAGUUGACACAUUAAUUAUAUUUUGCAGAUGACUUGUACCAAUACAAGUGUUUUGGUACCAAUAGAAGUCUUAAAAAUUAUAGCCAUUAGAGGUUGUGGUAUCAAUACAAGUGGGCUAAUAACAAUACAAGUCUGAGGGAAGAAUAAAUGGAACUUACUAUCUGACUUAUUGCGAUACAAUUCCUCAAGGGCAUUGAUACAUGUUUAUGGAAAAUUAGAGGUGCUCAUUGUCUGACUUGUUGCGAUACCAGUCUUGGCUAGUAUUGAUAUAACUCUAGUUGCAUCAAUACUCCUAGGGCUUUGUGCGGUACUUCUCCCUUAGAAUCAUGAGAGAUUAUUAUCUCAAUUGUAUCGACACAAGUGGGCCAGGGGUUUCGUAUAAGUUUCUAGACUUUACUAAAACAAUUGUAGAGGAAUUUUCAAGGACUUUUAGGAUUAUAAGAAAUACUCUAAAUCAAUUUAAUUAGAUUUAUGAGUUUGAAAACACUUGUGUAGGGACCCAAUUUUGCCCGGGCCCAUACAAAACAAAAACAAAAAAAUAAAAUAAACUAAACAAAAUAAGACUGGUCCAUUUACAACCAAUACCAAACCCAUUACAAGCCCAAACCAAAAUUAAACACCAGCCCAAAGCUAACUAAACCCAAACCCCCGACAAGUCAACUAACCCUAAGCCCAAACAACAAACAAAAAAACAACAAAAUGUUGCAUUUAUUUUUCUUAUUCUAAUAUAAAGAAAUUGGCUUUUGAUUUUUUUUUUUACCUACAUAGACAAUCAAUACAAAAAAAUAACUAGGUUACGAAUACAAAAAAAUCAAUAGAGAGAAAACAAAUAGAUUGAUCAAAGGAAACAGUAUUGGCCAAAGGUGAUUGUUUUAGUUUUUUUUUUUAAUCCCCUCUUGAUACAAAUAUUGAUAGAAAUACAUAAAAAAAUAAAAAGGAGAGAACACUUACCAGAGGCGAUUCCUCUUCUACCGUCGUCAGAGGCCGCGGCAUCUGAAUACCUCUAAACCCCUUAGGGUUCUGAUGAGGAUUUGGAAGACGAUAGAGGCCUAGUUCUCUCCCCUUCUUAUGCAUUACUUUCUUUUGAUUUUUGAAGCAAAAAGAAACCCUUUUUUAGCUUUUAGAAAAGGGACUUAAAAGGGGUUUGAGGAGGCCGAUUUUGUACGUUUUCGAUGGUCGGCUACGAUGGAGCCAUGGCGGAGGCUCACCGAGCCCUAUGGCCGGAAUAUAGGUUCUCCCCAGAGAGAAAAGAGCCUCUCUCUCCCUUUUUCUUUAAAGAACACAAAA
rnacentral:lncRNA from 1 species